CCUCCUUUCUUGGCAUGCACGUAGUUUUCUCAGUACUCGUGUGUGUAUGUAUGGAGGAAUAGAAGUGCCAGUGCUAUGUCUUCGGUACCAGCAUGUUCCCAUCAGCUGGUUCUAUCCUCAAUCACUGGAACACGC
ensembl:snoRNA